rnacentral:rRNA from 1 species
UANGCUAGUACACGUGGACACCUACCCUCCGGACGGGUAUAAACCCGGGAAACUGGGUAUAAUCCCCGAUAGAUCUCGGUCGCUGGAAAGCCCCGAGAUCGAAAGCUCCGGCGCCAGAGGAUGGGUCUGCGGCCUAUCAGGUAGUAGUGGGUGUAGCGUACCUACUAGCCUACGACGGGUACGGGUUGUGAGAGCAAGAGCCCGGAGAUGGAUUCUGAGACACGAAUCCAGGCCCUACGGGGUGCAGCUGGCGCGAAAACUUUACAAUGCCGGCAACGGCGAUAAGGGGACCUCGAGUGCCAGGUUACAAAUCUGGCUGUCGUGAUGCCUAAAAAGCAUUGCAUAGCAAGGGCCGGGCAAGACCGGUGCCAGCCGCCGCGGUAACACCGGCGGCUCGAGUGGUAACCGUUAUUAUUGGGUCUAAAGGGUCUGUAGCCGGCCAGAUAAGUCUCUUGAGAAAUCCAGCAGCUCAACUGUUGGGCUUUCAGGAGAUACUGUCUGGCUCGAGGCCGGGAGAGGUGAGAGGUACUUCAGGGGUAGGGGUGAAAUCUUGUAAUCCUUGAAGGACCACCAGUGGCGAAGGCGUCUCACCAGAACGGACCUGACGGCAAGGGACGAAAGCUAGGGGCACGAACCGGAUUAGAUACCCGGGUAGUCCUAGCCGUAAACGAUACUCGCUAGGUGUCGGCCACGGUGCGACCGUUGUCGGUGCCGUAGGGAAGCCGUGAAGCGAGCCACCUGGGAAGUACGGCCGCAAGGCUGAAACUUAAAGGAAUUGGCGGGGGAGCACCACAACGGGUGGAGCUUGCGGUUUAAUUGGAUUCAACGCCGGAAAUCUUACCGGGACCGACAGCAAUAUGAAGGCCAGGCUGAAGACUUUGCCGGAUUAGCUGAGAGGUGGUGCAUGGCCCGUCGUCAGUUCGUACUGUGAAGCAUCCUGUUAAGUCAGGCAACGAGCCGAGACCCGGA